rnacentral:rRNA from 1 species
UGGGGAAUCUUGCGCAAUGCACGAAAGUGUGACGCAGCAACGCCGCGUGGGGGAAGAAGGUCUUCGGAUUGUAAACCCCUUUCAGUUGGGACGAGGGUUACACGGUGAAUAGCCGGCGUAACUGACGGUACCUUCAGAAGAAGCCCCGGCUAACUACGUGCCAGCAGCCGCGGUAAUACGUAGGGGGCAAGCGUUAUCCGGAAUCAUUGGGCGUAAAGCGCGUGUAGGCGGUUAAGUAAGUCCGCUCUGAAAGCCCAGGGCUCAACCCUGGGAGGCGGGUGGAAACUACUUGACUAGAGUCCGGAAGAGGAGAUUGGAAUUCCUGGUGUAGCGGUGAAAUGCGCAGAUAUCAGGAGGAACACCAACAGCGAAGGCAGAUCUCUGGGACGUGACUGACGCUGAGACGCGAAAGCGUGGGGAGCAAACAGGAUUAGAUACCCUGGUAGUCCACGCCGUAAAACGAUGAAUACUAGGUGUAGGGGGUAUCGACCUCCCUCUGUGCCGAAGCUAACGCAUUAAGUAUUCCGCCUGGGGAGUACGGCCGCAAGGCU